rnacentral:rRNA from 1 species
UACAGAGGUCUCAAGCGUUGUUCGGAUUCAUUGGGCGUAAAGGGUGCGUAGGUGGCGCCGUAAGUCAGGUGUGAAAUUUCGGAGCCUAACUCCGAAACUGCAUUUGAUACUGCGGUGCUUGAGGACUGGAGAGGAGACUGGAAUUCACGGUGUAGCAGUGAAAUGCGUAGAUAUCGUGAGGAAGACCAGUGGCGAAGGCGGGUCUCUGGACAGUUCCUGACACUGAGGCACGAAGGCUAGGGGAGCAAACGGG